rnacentral:snRNA from 1 species
GGAUGUGGGGGUGAUCUGGCUGUGACAUCUGUCACCGCGUUGAUCUCUGGGGUUGAUUCGGCUGAUCUGGCUGGCUAGGCGGGUGUCCCCUUCCCUGCUCAAUGCUCCAUGUGUGUCCCUCCUGAAGCUGCGUGCUCAUCGAAGCGGGUGACCCCAGAGAGAGGAGACCGCUUCUCGGUCAAGGGUGUGAGAAUAGCUGCACUCCCUGCGAGAGCCUCCAAGCAAGCUCUCAAGGACCCCAGUCAAACUGAAUUAGGCUUCGCA